UACGAAGGGGGCUAGCGUUGCUCGGAAUCACUGGGCGUAAAGCGCACGUAGGCGGAUUGUUAAGCCAGGGGUGAAAUCCUGGAGCUCAACUCCAGAACUGCCUUUGAUACUGGCGAUCUUGAGUCCGGGAGAGGUGAGUGGAACUCCGAGUGUAGAGGUGAAAUUCGUAGAUAUUCGGAAGAACACCAGUGGCGAAGGCGGCUCACUGGCCCGGUACUGACGCUGAUGUGCGAAAGCGUGGGGAGCAAACAGG
rnacentral:rRNA from 1 species